rnacentral:rRNA from 1 species
UACGUAGGGGGCGAGCGUUGUCCGGAGUUACUGGGCGUAAAGGGCACGCAGGCGGUGCGGCGCGUUUCGCGUGACAGCGGAGGGCUUAACUCUCCGAGGAUGCGAAAGACGGCGGCACUUGAGGGCCAGAGAGGGACACGGAAUUCCGGGUGGAGUGGUGAAAUUCGUAGAUAUCGAGAGGAACACCGGUGGCGAAGGCGGCCAACUGGACAGAUACUGACGCUGAGACACGAAAGCGUGGGGAGCAAACAGG